GGUGUGCCGCAAGGAACCGUGAGACAGGUGCUGCAUGGCUGUCGUCAGCUCGUGUCGUGAGAUGUUGGGUUAAGUCCCGCAACGAGCGCAACCCUUGUCAUUAGUUGCCAUCAUUAAGUUGGGAACUCUAAGGAGACCGCCGGUGACAAACCGGAGGAAGGUGGGGAUGACGUCAAGUCAUCAUGGCCUUUAUGACCAGGGCUACACACGUGCUACAAUGGCAGGUACAGAGGGAAGCCAACCCGCGAGGGGGAGCUAAUCCCAGAAAGCCUGUCUUAGUCCGGAUUGGAGUCUGCAACUCGACUCCAUGAAGUUGGAAUCGCUAGUAAUCGCAGAUCAGCAUUGCUGCGGUGAAUACGUUCCCGGGUCUUGUACACACCGCCCGUCACACCAUGGGAGUUGAUUGCACCAGAAGCAGGUAGCCUGACCGCAAG
rnacentral:rRNA from 1 species